rnacentral:rRNA from 1 species
GACGAACGCUGGCGGCGUGCCUAAUACAUGCAAGUCGAGCGGGCCUCCGGAGGUGCUUGCACCUCCGGAAGGCCAGCGGCGGACGGGUGAGUAACACGUGGGCAACCUGCCUUUGAGGCCGGGAUAACACCGGGAAACCGGUGCUAAUACCGGAUACGUCCUCUUUCGCGCCUGCGAGAGGGGAGAAAGACGGUCUUUAAGCCGGUCGCUCACAGAGGGGCCCGCGGCGCAUUAGCUGGUUGGUGGGGUAAGGGCCUACCAAGGCGACGAUGCGUUGCCGACCUGAGAGGGUGAUCGGCCACACUGGGACUGAGACACGGCCCAGACUCCUGCGGGAGGCAGCAGUAGGGAAUCAUCCGCAAUGGGCGAAAGCCUGACGGUGCAACGCCGCGUGAGUGAGGAAGGUUUUCGGAUCGUAAAGCUCUGUUGUGAGGGAAGAACAGCUUCCGGAGGAAAUGCCGGAGGUUUGCCGGUACCUCACCAGAAAGCCCCGGCUAACUACGUGCCAGCCGCCGCCGUAACAC